GCCGGGCGCGGUGGCGCGCGCCUGUAGUCCCAGCUGCUCGGGAGGCUGAGGCAGGAGGAUCGCUUGAGCCCAGGAGUUCUGGGCUGUAGUGCGCUAGGCCGAUCGGGUGUCCGCACUAAGUUCGGCAUCAAUAUGGUGACCUCCCGGGAGCAGGGGACCACCAGGUUGCCUAAGGAGGGGUGAACCGGCCCAGGUCGGAAACGGAGCAGGUCAAACAAGCUGUGUUAGGAUAGUCUCACCGCCCAAUUCCAUAUUACACUUGGAACGGGGCAGCAAUAGGCCUCCA
rnacentral:SRP_RNA from 1 species